rnacentral:rRNA from 1 species
GUCCACGCCGUAAACGAUGAAUGCCAGCCGUUGGGGUGCAUGCACCUCAGUGGCGCAGCUAACGCUUUAAGCAUUCCGCCUGGGGAGUACGGUCGCAAGAUUAAAACUCAAAGGAAUUGACGGGGGCCCCGCACAAGCGGUGGAGCAUGUGGUUUAAUUCGAAGCAACGCGCAGAACCUUACCAGCUUUUGACAUGUCCGGUUUGAUCGGCAGAGAUGCCUUUCUUCAGUUCGGCUGGCCGGAACACAGGUGCUGCAUGGCUGUCGU